AUUGAACGCUGGCGGCAGGCUUAACACAUGCAAGUCGAACGAGUGGCGGACGGGUGAGUAAUGCCUGGGAAUCUAGCUUAUGGAGGGCGAUAACUACGGGAAAUUGUAGCUAAUACCGCGUACCAUAGGUUGAGCCCAAGUGGGAUUAGGGCGUUGGUGAGGUAACGGCUCACCAAGCCGACGAUCCCUAGCUGGUCUGAGAGGAUGACCAGCCACACUGGAACUGAGACACGGACCAGACUCCUACGGGAGGCAGCAGUGGGGAAUAUUGCGCAAUGGGGGCAACCUGACGCAGCCAUGCCGCGUGAAUGAAGAAGGCCUUCGGGUUGUAAAGUUCUUUCGGUAGCGAGGCGUUAACAACAGAAGAAGCACCGGCUAACUCCGUGCCAGCCGCCGCGGUAAUAC
rnacentral:rRNA from 1 species